rnacentral:rRNA from 1 species
AGCUCCAAUAGCGUAUAUUAAAGUUGCUGCGGUUAAAAAGCUCGUAGUUGGAUCUCAGUCUCGGUCGGACGGUCCAUCUCUCGAUGGCACUGUUCGAACCGGACAUUUGGCCGCGUUGCUCUGUAUCCUCUUGACUGAGUGUACAGUGCGAGUGGCACGUUUACUUUGAAAAAAUUAGAGUGCUCAAAGCAGGCAUUCGCCUGAAUCUUCGUGCAUGGAAUGAUGGAAUAGGGCCUCGGUUCUAUUUUGUUGGUUUCCGGAACUCGAGGUAAUGAUUAAGAGGGACAGACGGGGGCAUUCGUAUUGCGACGUUAGAGGUGAAAUUCUUAGAUCGUCGCAAGACGAACUACUGCGAAAGCAUUUGCCAAGAAUGUUUUCA